rnacentral:rRNA from 1 species
CCUACGGGAGGCAGCAGUGAGGAAUAUUGGUCAAUGGACGAGAGUCUGAACCAGCCAAGUAGCGUGAAGGAUGACUGCCCUAUGGGUUGUAAACUUCUUUUAUAUGGGAAUAAAACGUUCCACGUGUGGGAUUUUGUAUGUACCAUAUGAAUAAGGAUCGGCUAACUCCGUGCCAGCAGCCGCGGUAAUACGGAGGAUCCGAGCGUUAUCCGGAUUUAUUGGGUUUAAAGGGAGCGUAGGGGGAUUGUUAAGUCAGUUGUGAAAGUUUGCGGCUCAACCGUAAAAUUGCAGUUGAAACUGGCAGUCUUGAGUACAGUAGAGGUGGGCGGAAUUCGUGGUGUAGCGGUGAAAUGCUUAGAUAUCACGAAGAACUCCGAUUGCGAAGGCAGUUCACUGGACUGCAACUGACACUGAGGCUCGAAAGUGUGGGUAUCAAACAGGAUUAGAUACCCUUGUAGUC